AUGCAUUGAUCUGGUUCUGUACAGUACAUACAAUGUACUCUGCCCUGAAUCCCAACUGUAUGAAUGUGAUUGAAUGCAGAUUGUAAUUACUUGUAUGCUGUAAUUAUUAUUAAAUAAAAAAGUUUCUCUUAUGAGAUCUGUGAGUAGCCUUGUAGGUCCAGUUAUGCCUUGAAAAUGUCUGCAGAUCAAUGUAGGAAGCCUGUGGUUAAUAUGUGACUCAUGAGAUUCAGGGCUGAUUUUUGUCAAUUUUCUGUUUAAGAUUUCCUGACAAGAACAAAGAGCGUGACCGCUACCUCACUUGGGUUAGAAACUGCAGAAGGGAUAAAGAGCCUAACAAUGGAUCACGCAUAUGCAGCAAGCAUUUUCUGCCGAAGUAUAUUUUCAAACCUGCUGGUAUGCAGAGGACUCACCUGACAGAAGAUGCCUGUCCAACUGAAUUUGAUCUGCCAGAACACUUGAAGAUUUUCAAUGAUCCAUUACUUCAACAAACUGAAGAUAUUGCUCCAUCCCAUACAACAAAACCGCCUGGUACACCUGUACCAAGUACAUCUCAUGAAAAUGUACAAUCUGGAACUCCUGAGCCCUCUCGUAGUUGGCACUCGAACAAAAAGGAGGGUUAAAAAGCCUACAGCCAGUGACAAGCGGCAUGAGGUACUUCAAGAAGCCCUCCAUCAGUUAAGAAACUUGUCUCAAUCUGAAGAGGGUGAUAACGAUGAUCAAAGUGAUUUUGGUAGUGUUGUUACCAGUGAUUUACUAAAAAUGAAUGAAGAAAAUAAGGUUCUUGCAGAGAAACUCAUAUCGCAAGUGCUUUAUAUCGGAAAAUUAGGCAAACUCUCAUCAUUGAAUAAUUAUGGCUGAAGGUAAGAAUUAUAUUAAGAGGAAGGACAUGUUUCCAUAUGUGUUUAUGGAUAGGUAUAAUUACAAUGUGAUAUUUCUGAAUACUUUGAAUGCUUGGUAAAUAAAAAAAACUAUUAUA